rnacentral:rRNA from 1 species
CGCUGGCGGCAGGCCUAACACAUGCAAGUCGAGCGGAAACGAGUUAUCUGAACCUUCGGGGAACGAUAACGGCGUCGAGCGGCGGACGGGUGAGUAAUGCCUAGGAAAUUGCCCUGGUGUGGGGGAUAACUAUUGGAAACGAUGGCUAAUACCGCAUAACACCUACGGGUCAAAGAGGGGGACCUUCGGGCCUCUCGCGUCAGGAUAUGCCUAGGUGGGAUUAGCUAGUUGGUGAGGUAAUGGCUCACCAAGGCGACGAUCCCUAGCUGGUCUGAGAGGAUGAUCAGCCACACUGGAACUGAGACACGGUCCAGACUCCUACGGGAGGCAGCAGUGGGGAAUAUUGCACAAUGGGCGCAAGCCUGAUGCAGCCAUGCCGCGUGUGUGAAGAAGGCCUUCGGGUUGUAAAGCACUUUCAGUCGUGAGGAAGGUAGUGUAGUUAAUAGCUGCAUUAUUUGACGUUAGCGACAGAAGAAGCACCGGCUAACUCCGUGCCAGCAGCCGCGGUAAUACGGAGGGUGCGAGCGUUAAUCGGAAUUACUGGGCGUAAAGCGCAUGCAGGUGGUUUGUUAAGUCAGAUGUGAAAGCCCGGGGCUCAACCUCGGAAUAGCAU